rnacentral:rRNA from 1 species
UACGUAGGGGGCAAGCGUUGUCCGGAUUCAUUGGGCGUAAAGAGCGUGUAGGCGGCCAGGUAGGUCGGUUGUGAAAACUGGAGGCUCAACCUUCAGAGGUCGACCGAAACCAUCUGGCUAGAGUCCGGGAGAGGAGAGUGGAAUUCCUGGUGUAGCGGUGAAAUGCGCAGAUAUCAGGAGGAACACCAGUGGCGAAGGCGGUGCUCUGGGCCGGAACUGACGCUGAGGAGCGAAAGCGUGGGGAGCAAACAGG